rnacentral:lncRNA from 1 species
GUUCCUGUUUGCUUUUGUUAGGGACACUGAGCCCCCCUCUUACCGGGAUCAUCUGUCUGCCUGGUGGACAAGCUGCGUCCUGCCCACUGCACCCAAUUCACAUCGAAAUUUACUCAAAUACGACAGUGAAUUUCAGGAGGAAGGAUUGCUGGAAGAGAUCAGUGGGACCCACUGAGUGGGCAGAGAAAAAUAGGUAAGCCUCUCUCCUCCGCUGAGUAGAGCUAUUCAUUAGCGCUCUGAUUUAUACAUCCUUCUGCUUUAAUCUGCAGCCAGGCCAGUGAAGAUGGAUGGGUGACAGUCCCAUCGGUCCCAGCGAUUCAGCACUCAAUCACCACGGA